UCAAAAUUGUUUAUUUGGAACACAACAACACAUUACAAAAACUUUAUGCACGAUGGCACCCAUAAAAGCUUAAAUAAGCUGCGGCACAGGUGCCAACGCCCGCCUCCAAACAUUAGUAGUUCCACUAAUCAAAUUUUAACAUUCAUAUAUCCAAAACAGAAACACAAAGUAAUGAUAAAAGUAAGUAAGACGAUUUACUUAUACAAAAUUAAAAAGACAAAAAUGUGCAGGUAUGUGUUUGUGAGAGAGUGUGUGAAUGUUAUGUGUGUGAGUAUGCGAGAGUGAGAUUAUGUGAGUUUGUGAGGUUGAGUGAGAAAUGUAGAAGUUUAGAUGGUGGUUUUAAUAAUUAGUUCAGUUUCAUCAUACGAGAGGGAUAGAAGCCAAUUUAGGAGUAUGGUUUUUAGCUUAUAAUGACAGAGUGGGUAAAUAUUGAGGACUUGAUUAAUUUUAUUGUAGAUUAACGAACUUAUGAAAAGAUAGUGGCGACUAGCUAUUGCUGUUCUGCGAUAUUUAAUAACGCAUACUCUGUCGUUUCUGCGCCUAGUAUUUAUAAAGUCCAAGUCAUACACAGUGUCUGAGUGCUUCCUCAGAACAACUUUGAGAAUAAACAAUUGUCUUACGGUGGGAACUUGGCAGAGAGCAUAUAAUUCGCUGGUCGGAUAGCGGAGAGGUUUGUUAACGAGAGCUUUGAGGACAGCCCGUUGGGCUCGUUCCAGUCUUAUCAUCAAAGAUUUGACACAGCCUCCCCAGGAUGUUAUACAGUAAGAGAGCAUACAGUAUCGAUCUGCUGCUUCCACGAGAACAUUUGAUCAAUUGUGACGCCCAGAUAUCUCAAGCUAGUGGCUCUUUCAAGACUUAUACAAUUGCAUUGAUCACUAGGGACGCUCUUGAGACAGUCAUGUGCGGAUAUGUUGAAACUUGAGGGAGGCAAGGAAGAAAGUUUGGGGGCAAAAGUUAUGUAUUUACUUUUAACAAUAUUAAGCGUGAGAAGGUUUUGUCGAAGCCAGUCUUGAACAAUCUUUAGAGCAUUUUCAGCAACAUUACGAACCUCCUCCCAAGUUCGGGCAUGGACAAUCAAAGCAGUAUCAUCGGCAUAAGAAAUUAUUUUACAGUUGUUAAGAGACAAAUUACACAGAUCAUUUAUGUAAAUUAGAAACAGGGUAGGUCCUAAGACGCUGCCCUGAGGUACGCCAAAAGUAACUGGUUCAAGCUCACUAACAAUAUCAUCAAUAACUACACACUGCGUACGUUCAGAAAGAUAACUACCAAAAAUAUCCAGAACAGAGCCACGAAUACCACAGCGUUCCAAUUUAGAUAUAAGAAUAGAGAUAGAGACAGUGUCGAAUGCUUUAGAGAGGUCUAAAAAAAGAGUAACAGAUUUCGUUUGUUCUUCAAAAUUAUUUAUUAUGCUAUUGGUCAAAGACAACAGAGCAUCUUCCGUGGAUAGGCCACGUCUAAAACCGAAUUGAUUUUUUGAUAGUAAAUUAUUGGUGUUAAGAAAAGUAAGGAGCCUAUUAUUUAACACUUUUUCGAAGAUUUUAGAAAUAGCUGAAAGCACAGAUAUUGGGCGGUAAUUAGAGACACCAUCUCUAUCUCCACUCUUGAAGAUCGGGUGGACAACAGCUCUCUUAAAUACAGUAGGAAAAAUGCCUUUUGAGAUGGAAAGGUUAAAAACGUAACAGAGAAUAGGAACGAGUAUAUGCCGCGCCGAUUUAAGGACAGACGUGGGUAUCCCAUCCCAGCCAACAGCACAUUUGUCUUUAAGAUUGCAAAUAAUUUUAUGGAUUUCAUCAUUGUCGAUACUCAGUAGUACCAUCGAAUUUAUAGAAGAUUGAGAAGAGUUUUGUGGAAAAGCCUCAGGGGUAUUACAAUAAUUUGAGGAAGCACUCCGAGUACUGUGAAUAAUUUUAUAAGCCAUAUCUUUACCCACAUUAGCAAAAUAAUUAUUGACGGCAUUGACAGAUGACUUUUUACAGGUGAACCGAUUCAGUAAAUUACUUGCAUAAGA